rnacentral:tRNA from 1 species
GUCCCGAUAGUAUAAAAAUUACUUUGGUCUUGUAAACCAAGAAUGAAGGGCUACUCUUCUCAGGACA